rnacentral:misc_RNA from 1 species
GCAUCGAUGAAGAACGCAGCGAAAUGCGAUAAGUAGUGUGAAUUGCAGAAUUCAGUGAAUCAUCGAAUCUUUGAACGCACAUUGCGCCCUUUGGCAUUCCUUAGGGCAUGCCUGUUCGAGCGUCAUUUCAAACUUCAAGCCCACCUUCUUGGCUUGGUGUUGGGCGUCUGUCUCCCCGGGGACUCGCCUCAAAUGCAUUGGCAGCCGGCACGUUGGCUUCGAGCGCAGCAGAAACGCGCGCGGCGUCUGACGGUGCCUGGCUCUCCAGAAGCCUCCACCCCAAGUUUGACCUCGGAUCAGGUAGGGAUACCCGCUGAACUUAAGCAUAUCAAUAAGCGGAGGA